UCUGAAAUCAAGUGGAAUUACCCGCUGAACUUAAGCAU
rnacentral:rRNA from 1 species